AUGGCGGAGGAACCGUCCGCCAAGCGUCAUCAUGGUGAGCCGUCGGAUAAGAGAAGCAACCUCGUCCAUGUUCACGUCCCCGGCGAGAAGCGCGAGUACACGAGAACCCUCACAGAGGUUGAGCUCCACGGCAAGGAGAAGCUGGAGAUCGUCUGCACAGCCGAACCAGACAAGGCCGACGAGGUGAUGAGCAGGCUCAGGAUAAAGGGCGGCGGCUUGUAUCCGAGCUUCAUCGGAGUUGAUGUGGAGCCCAAGCGCCUCAAAGACUUCCUGUAG
rnacentral:rRNA from 1 species